UUUCAGCGAGCCGAGCAGCGCCGGAAUGGCGCGGUCCUGCCCGUAGGUGGCCAGCAGGGCCUGGGCUUC
rnacentral:antisense_RNA from 1 species